GACAGAGGGUGCAAACGUUUGUUCGGAAUUACUGGGCGUAAAGCGCGCGUAGGCGGCUUUGUAAGUUAGAGGUGAAAGCCCGGAGCUCAACUCCGGAAUUGCCUUUAAGACUGCAUCGCUAGAAUCAUGGAGAGGUGAGUGGAAUUCCGAGUGUAGAGGUGAAAUUCGUAGAUAUUCGGAAGAACACCAGUGGCGAAGGCGACUCACUGGACAUGUAUUGACGCUGAGGUGACGAAGCGGUGGGACAACAGG
rnacentral:rRNA from 1 species